GACGAACGCUGGCGGCGUGCUUAACACAUGCAAGUCGAACGGGAAGGCCCUGCUUUUGUGGGGUGCUCGAGUGGCGAACGGGUGAGUAACACGUGAGUAACCUGCCCUUGACUUUGGGAUAACUUCAGGAAACUGGGGCUAAUACCGGAUAGGAGCUCCUGCUACAUGGUGGGGGUUGGAAAGUUUCGGCGGUUGGGGAUGGACUCGCGGCUUAUCAGCUUGUUGGUGGGGUAGUGGCUUACCAAGGCUUUGACGGGUAGCCAGCCUGAGAGGGUGACCGGCCACAUUGGGACUGAGAUACGGCCCAGACUCCUACGGGAGGCAGCAGUGGGGAGUAUUGCACAAUGGGCGGAAGCCUGAUGCAGCAACGCCGCGUGCGGGAUGACGGCCUUCGGGUUGUAAACCGCUUUCGCCUGUGACGAAGCGUGAGUGACGGUAAUGGGUAAAGAAGCACCGGCUAACUACGUG
rnacentral:rRNA from 1 species